rnacentral:rRNA from 1 species
UACAGAGGUCUCAAGCGUUGUUCGGAUUCAUUGGGCGUAAAGGGUGCGUAGGUGGCGCCGUAAGUCAGGUGUGAAAUCCCGGGGCUCAACCCCGGGACUGCACUUGAUACUGCGGUGCUCGAGUACUGGAGAGGAGAUUGGAAUUUACGGUGUAGCAGUGAAAUGCGUAGAUAUCGUAAGGAAGACCAGUGGCGAAGGCGAAUCUCUGGACAGUUACUGACACUGAGGCACGAAGGCCAGGGGAGCAAACGGG